rnacentral:rRNA from 1 species
CCUACGGGUGGCAGCAGUGGGGAAUAUUGGACAAUGGGCGAAAGCCUGAUCCAGCCAUGCCGCGUGUGUGAAGAAGGCCUUCGGGUUGUAAAGCACUUUCAGUGGGGAAGAAAGCCUUGGGGCUAAUACCCUCGAGGAAGGACAUCACCCACAGAAGAAGCACCGGCUAACUCCGUGCCAGCAGCCGCGGUAAUACGGAGGGUGCGAGCGUUAAUCGGAAUUACUGGGCGUAAAGCGCGCGUAGGCGGUCUGAUAAGUCGGUUGUGAAAGCCCCGGGCUCAACCUGGGAACGGCAUCCGGAACUGUCAGGCUAGAGUGCAGGAGAGGAAGGUAGAAUUCCCGGUGUAGCGGUGAAAUGCGUAGAGGUCGGGAGGAAUACCAGUGGCGAAGGCGGCCUUCUGGACUGACACUGACGCUGAGGUGCGAAAGCGUGGGUAGCAAACAGGAUUAGAUACCCUAGUAGUC